UUAAGCGACUAAGCGUACACGGUGGAUGCCCUGGCAGUCAGAGGCGAUGAAGGACGUGCUAAUCUGCGAAAAGCGCCGGCGAGGUGAUAUGAACCUUUGACCCGGCGAUGUCCGAAUGGGGAAACCCAGUGCAAUUCGUUGCACUAUCGUUAACUGAAUACAUAGGUUAACGAGGCGAACCGGGGGAACUGAAACAUCUAAGUACCCCGAGGAAAAGAAAUCAACCGAGAUUCCCCCAGUAGCGGCGAGCGAACGGGGAGCAGCCCAGAGUCUGAAUCAGCUUGUGUGUUAGUGGAAGCGUCUGGAAAGUCGCACGGUACAGGGUGACAGUCCCGUACACGAAAGCACACAGGCUGUGAACUCGAAGAGUAGGGCGGGACACGUGGUAUCCUGUCUGAAUAUGGGGGGACCAUCCUCCAAGGCUAAAUACUCCUGACUGACCGAUAGUGAACCAGUACCGUGAGGGAAAGGCGAAAAGAACCCCGGCGAGGGGAGUGAAAAAGAACCUGAAACCGUGUACGUACAAGCAGUGGGAGCACCUUCGUGGUGUGACUGCGUACCUUUUGUAUAAUGGGUCAGCGACUUAUAUUCUGUAGCAAGGUUAACCGUAUAGGGGAGCCGAAGGGAAACCGAGUCUUAACUGGGCGUUAAGUUGCAGGGUAUAGACCCGAAACCCGGUGAUCUAGCCAUGGGCAGGUUGAAGGUUGGGUAACACUAACUGGAGGACCGAACCGACUAAUGUUGAAAAAUUAGCGGAUGACUUGUGGCUGGGGGUGAAAGGCCAAUCAAACCGGGAGAUAGCUGGUUCUCCCCGAAAGCUAUUUAGGUAGCGCCUCGUGAACUCAUCUUCGGGGGUAGAGCACUGUUUCGGCUAGGGGGCCAUCCCGGCUUACCAACCCGAUGCAAACUACGAAUACCGAAGAAUGUUAUCACGGGAGACACACGGCGGGUGCUAACGUCCGUCGUGAAGAGGGAAACAACCCAGACCGCCAGCUAAGGUCCCAAAGUCAUGGUUAAGUGGGAAACGAUGUGGGAAGGCACAGACAGCCAGGAUGUUGGCUUAGAAGCAGCCAUCAUUUAAAGAAAGCGUAAUAGCUCACUGGUCGAGUCGGCCUGCGCGGAAGAUGUAACGGGGCUAAACCAUGCACCGAAGCUGCGGCAGCGACGCUUAUGCGUUGUUGGGUAGGGGAGCGUUCUGUAAGCCGUUGAAGGUGUGCUGUGAGGCAUGCUGGAGGUAUCAGAAGUGCGAAUGCUGACAUAAGUAACGAUAAAGCGGGUGAAAAGCCCGCUCGCCGGAAGACCAAGGGUUCCUGUCCAACGUUAAUCGGGGCAGGGUGAGUCGACCCCUAAGGCGAGGCCGAAAGGCGUAGUCGAUGGGAAACAGGUUAAUAUUCCUGUACUUGGUGUUACUGCGAAGGGGGGACGGAGAAGGCUAUGUUAGCCGGGCGACGGUUGUCCCGGUUUAAGCAUGUAGGCGGAACGAUUAGGUAAAUCCGGUCGUUUAUUAACGCUGAGGUGUGAUGACGAGGCACUACGGUGCUGAAGUAACAAAUGCCCUGCUUCCAGGAAAAGCCUCUAAGCAUCAGGUAACACGAAAUCGUACCCCAAACCGACACAGGUGGUCAGGUAGAGAAUACCAAGGCGCUUGAGAGAACUCGGGUGAAGGAACUAGGCAAAAUGGUGCCGUAACUUCGGGAGAAGGCACGCUGAUAUGUAGGUGAAGCCCCUGCGGGUGGAGCUGAAAUCAGUCGAAGAUACCAGCUGGCUGCAACUGUUUAUUAAAAACACAGCACUGUGCAAACACGAAAGUGGACGUAUACGGUGUGACGCCUGCCCGGUGCCGGAAGGUUAAUUGAUGGGGUUAGCGGUAACGCGAAGCUCUUGAUCGAAGCCCCGGUAAACGGCGGCCGUAACUAUAACGGUCCUAAGGUAGCGAAAUUCCUUGUCGGGUAAGUUCCGACCUGCACGAAUGGCGUAAUGAUGGCCAGGCUGUCUCCACCCGAGACUCAGUGAAAUUGAACUCGCUGUGAAGAUGCAGUGUACCCGCGGCAAGACGGAAAGACCCCGUGAACCUUUACUAUAGCUUGACACUGAACACUGGUCCUUGAUGUGUAGGAUAGGUGGGAGGCUUUGAAGCGUGGACGCCAGUCUGCGUGGAGCCGACCUUGAAAUACCACCCUUUAAUGGCUGGUGUUCUAACGUAGACCCGUAAUCCGGGUUGCGGACAGUGUCUGGUGGGUAGUUUGACUGGGGCGGUCUCCUCCCAAAGAGUAACGGAGGAGCACGAAGGUUAGCUAAUCCUGGUCGGACAUCAGGAGGUUAGUGCAAUGGCAUAAGCUAGCUUGACUGCGAGAGUGACGGCUCGAGCAGGUGCGAAAGCAGGUCAUAGUGAUCCGGUGGUUCUGAAUGGAAGGGCCAUCGCUCAACGGAUAAAAGGUACUCCGGGGAUAACAGGCUGAUACCGCCCAAGAGUUCAUAUCGACGGCGGUGUUUGGCACCUCGAUGUCGGCUCAUCACAUCCUGGGGCUGAAGUAGGUCCCAAGGGUAUGGCUGUUCGCCAUUUAAAGUGGUACGCGAGCUGGGUUUAGAACGUCGUGAGACAGUUCGGUCCCUAUCUGCCGUGGGCGCUGGAGAAUUGAGGGGGGCUGCUCCUAGUACGAGAGGACCGGAGUGGACGCAUCACUGGUGUUCGGGUUGUCAUGCCAAUGGCACUGCCCGGUAGCUAAAUGCGGAAAAGAUAAGUGCUGAAAGCAUCUAAGCACGAAACUUGCCCCGAGAUGAGUUCUCCCUGACCCUUUAAGGGUCCUGAAGGAACGUUGAAGACUACGACGUUGAUAGGUCGGGUGUGUAAGCGCAGCGAUGCGUUGAGCUAACCGAUACUAAUGAACCGUGAGGCUUAACCUU
rnacentral:rRNA from 1 species